rnacentral:misc_RNA from 1 species
UUCGAGCGUCAUUACAACCCUCAAGCUUAGCUUGGUAUUGGGUGCCGUCCCCCGGGGCGCACCUGGAAAUUAGCGGCGGUGCGGCCGGUGAUCAAGCGUAGUAGAUACUCCCGCUUCGAGACACCCGGGCGUGCCGCCGGAUAACACCCAACUUUUCAAUGGUUGACCUCGGAUCAGGUAGGGAUACCCGCUGAACUUAA